rnacentral:rRNA from 1 species
GGGCCCGCACAAGCGGAGGAACAUGUGGUUUAAUUCGAUGAUACGCGAGGAACCUUACCCGGGUUUGAACGCAUUCGGACCGACCAGGAAACUGGUCUUCUAGCAAUAGCCGUUUGCGAGGUGCUGCAUGGUUGUCGUCAGCUCGUGCCGUGAGGUGUCGGCUUAAGUGCCAUAACGAGCGCAACCCUUAUCGGUAGUUACCAGCAUGUAAUGAUGGGGACGUCUACCGAGACUGCCAGCGUAAGCUGUGAGGAAGGUGGGGAUGACGUCAAAUCAGCACGGCCCUUACAUCCGGGGCGACACACGUGUUACAAUGGCGAGGACAAAGAGCAGCCAGCGGGUGACCGUGAGCUAAUCUCUAAACCUCGUCUCAGUUCGGAUCGAAGUCUGCAACCCGACUUCGUGAAGCUGGAUUCGCUAGUAAUCGCGCAUCAGCCAUGGCG